UAUCGCAGUAUUUCACCGUAAGCCCACCGCCCAGGAGAAGUAUUCUAGGAGAAUAGAGCCCCAGUUGCCUGUGGAAUACUUACCUUUGUCCAUUGCUACGAAUCACUAAAGUGAGAAUAGAGCCCCAUUGCCUGUGAAGUACCUACCUGUGUUGUCCCCCGCAGUUUGAGUGACCUCUCUCUUGCAGUGCCAUUGGAGUUCUGUGUCGCGGGUUGGCGCUCACCUCGGAGUGUGCAGAAGGGGAGGCGCCGUCCGAGCACCCUGUACGAAGAGAUCGGAGGAACAAGUCAUUUAUCAGCCAGUCGUAUGGACCCAAGUAACAGGUAGCCACUCUCACCGGAUCGAUUACUCAUUGUGUGUUUCACUCUGCCUUCAGGAGAAAAGAAGGGCGCCACGAGUCAACAAAAGCCCAAAGGGACAUACUAACCCUCGCCGCAUAGUCCUCUCCGGCCCCUUUCUCCUCCUGCUGAACAGAGACGAUAAUUUUAAGAUUUACCUCCCCCUCCCUGAAUUAUUUUAAUUAAUUUAAAUAAAGUUGUUUUAAUAUUA